GGACCGUUGGUGUAGCCUGGUCUAACACGUCUCCCUGUCACGGAGAAGACCGCGGGUUCGAAUCCCGCACGGUCCGCCA
rnacentral:tRNA from 1 species